UAGAAUUUGCUAGAUCAUAGUAAUUCAGUGCUCAAGUUUUUGAGAAGUUACCAAAUAAUUUUCCACAGUAGCCAGGCCAAUUUAUAUAUCCCACCCCCUCAACAUCUAAGGAUUCCAAUUUCUUUGCAUCAUCAACAACAUUUCUUAUUUUCUGUUGGUGUUUGGUUCUGACUUUGUAAUAGCUACUGUAUCUUCAUGGGUCAUGAAAGAUAAGGAUCCUUUUUCUCUCUUCCUAGUUCUAACUCUGUGUUCCUGAAUUCCCCUUUCCUCUUGUAAUUCUACUUAGGGACUUUAUAACUGCUAUUUUUUUUUAAUGGAAUGUGAAUUUGAUUCUCAAUCUCCUGGCCCUUUCCAUUCCUUUCUUUGUCUCUUAGAUAAAAUCAGCACCCCCCACCCUUUUAUUUUCCAACAGGAACCAUCUACUCCUCUACCUUCUUUAAUUUCAAUUGCUUCCUUCUUCCAGACUUUCCAUGUCUUGGUAAUCCUCCUGAACAUUUACCCUGAAAGCCAAAGGUGACUCCAUCUGAAUGGAUCCUGCUUUCCCAGCUCAUCUGCCCUUUCCCUUCUGGAUUCUUGAAACUAACCAUCUCAUACCUUUUUGUCUUGUCAUCACAGAAAACACAAGUCCAAGGUGCCAACACUUAUUAGCCCUCAUGCACAUUUUUCCCACCUACUGGAGAGACCAUGCUAAAUCACAUGUCAUUUUGAGGUAUUGCCAGAUCCUGGUUUUGCAAGUUAGGGCACUCUCCUAUGGAACACUUGAGUGACCUUGCAACCUGCUCCAGGCUAUGGCUGAAUGGUCUAGGUCUCUGACUCCCAGACCUAACCCCACAGGUUCCCCUAAGAUACCAUUUCCAUACCACUUUGGCACAACAUAGUGAUCACCAUAAACCCUAGGCUGGUUUGCCAAUCUCAGCUUGGUCACGUAUGCAGUGAGGUGCCAGUUUACUCAGUUAUGAUUUCUCCCUUGCCUUGAAGAGAUAAGCAACAAUGAACUUGAGCCUACUUAGGAAGAUCACUGUACAUAAAAGCAAAUCCAGUUCAUUGUUUUCAGUUCAUAAAACAAAAAUAUCACCCUGAACAAAAGGAUCUUCCUGAAUGUGUGCUGCUUUGGAGGUUACACAAAUGCAAUCAGAGUGAAUUCAGAACCAUCCAGGGGUCAGAGAUCAAUUCUGCCCUUUGAUGGGACAUAAAAGGCUUAACCUUAAGUAGGCAGCUGCAUUCACUGUGGCCCCUGCAGCCUUGACAUUCUGCACAGAUUCUGAUACAAUCAUCCCUUGUCAUCCAUGUUCAAAGACCCCCAAUGAAUACCCUGAACUGCGGACAGUACCAAACCCUAUGUAUGCUAUGUGUUUUCCUAUAUGUGCACACCUAUGAUAAAGUGGAGUCUAUCAAGUAAGACACUAAUAUCA
rnacentral:lncRNA from 1 species